ensembl:lncRNA
AUAAGUAUGAAGUGUGUGGACACACUUCAUGCUAAGAGCUCAUUCUGGCUACAGAAGGCCCUGAUCCUUUUGCUGCAAUCGUUUAAAUACCUCAGACCAAGACAAACAUCCCCCGAGAUGGAGACAGUAACUAACAAUAGGAAUUUGCAUUAACUCAGGUCCCAAGCCUGGGUGGUUUUUACAACUCAAUGGGAACAGGAGGUAAUUUACAUGGAGGACCCUGGGAAGGGGCACUCCCAUCACAGUAGGCAAAAUAUCUCUUAACUCUUAGGAUCUGUAUUAUCUUUUAAUCUACUUUUGUAAGAUUGAGACCAUUGUACCAGUUGCACUGAGACAUUUCAAAUGAUACCAGACAUGACUGUUAGUUCACUUGCAUUGACAUUUUCAUGUAAUCAUUUUUGAGCAGAUUGAGUAGAAGAAAGCAUGGGUGAAGGGAUUUAAAAUGAAACAAAUGGCCAGAAGGGAAGGAGGUCUCCUGCACCUCCACUCUGUGGGGUGUCUCGAAGAUGCCCGUGUAUGUUUGUAUUGUCUGUUUCUCAGGAGAUCAAAGUAUCUCAUGCCCGUGUAUGUUUGUAUUGUCUGUUUCUCAGGAGAUCAAAGUAUCUCAGGUUCUUUAAUCCUUACACUAUCUAUCUAUCUAUCUAUCUAUCUAUCUAUCUAUCUAUCUAUCUAUCUAUCUAUCUAUCUAUCUAUCUAUCUAUCUAUCUAUCCACAGAUCUAUUAUCCAUCCAUUCAUUCUUCUAUCUACAAUAGAAUCAUCAAUCAUCUAUUGAUCAUUCUACCUACCGAUUUAUCGUCCGUCCGUCCAUCCAUCCAUCCAUCCAUCCAUCCAUCUUUAUCUGUCUAUCGGUCUGUCUAUUUGACUGCAUUGCCUUAAAACUGAAAAAGUAUUUAUUUAUUCAUGUGAUUAUUCAGAUAAAAGAGAUGAGUAAAACAUUUACAUUUUUUUGACCAUGCAGACAACUUUUACCAACUUUUUUAUAACUUAACACAAAGAAAGUAGACACUGGCUCAUUUAAUGUUCUCUCUCACUUCAUCGUUCCGAGCUUCAUUUCCUCCUGUGAGACAGCCAUGCCCUGAGAAUAAGUGGAUGACACUCAGACGUUGUUUUCGUCUGGUAAGUUCUUCCCCUCGCUAUACAGUAUAUAAUGCCAUCCUAAAGCUUAAAGAAAUGUGAUUCACAAGACCUGAGGCACUCCAGCACAUACACAAACACAUACUCACACAUACGCACAUGGUACAAAACAAGCUCUUCGCUCCUGCGGUGCCAUUUUGACCCAGUUAUGCAGGUUAACGUUCUCUAGCGGUGUACGAGAACCCUGCCUCCUAUAGGCACUGCAACACCCACUUACAGAGCCAAGGGUGAGUGGUUUGAGUUGCACAUCAAACCCUCAGACAUUGAAAAUACUUGGUGUUUAUCAGCAGCCGAGGAUGGAUGGGAGUGGGUGGGGAGGGACAGAGGGGGGCGUUAGCGUAAGGAAAAGACACCAAGAGGGGAAAAAAUGCUGUGAAUUGAAACUUGCAAACUUUCUAAUGGAAAUGGUGUUGACCCCUCGGCGGUAUUGUCGGAGCUGAGGCAUUGUUGCAAUCAAUAUGCGCUCAGGGGAGAGCGCAUGGGGCAAGGACCUUUCGUUCCCCACCACGCCGGAAAUAAUGCGAGACGCUGAUUUGUUAUUUUCCAGACACGGAGAAAACAAGCAGACGGGUGGCAGUGCACGCAGGUGCCUCAUUUUGGGAAUACUUCAGAGAAAUGAAAUAAACAGAGUGAGGAAAGAAAUGUAUCUGCGAACGAGGGAUAAACAAUAUCAUAGAGUUAGUACCGGUCUGCUUUAGGCGGCGACUGCGUGGGCAAAUGGUGUUCAUUAGUAUUUCAUAAAUCAUUAUUGUAAUGUUACACUAAGCUCUCUAUUUUAUUUAUUUAUUUAUUUAUUUUUUUAAGCAUUAUAAUGUCCAUAACUGAAUAAUAAUGCAGUUAGUCAGCUUUAGCAUUACUUUCCUCUUUCCAUCAGUUUUUGGCCUCCAUGAGCCUGGUGUCAGAAGCUUGUUAGAAGAAUUUAAAUACAAAUUAACAAACAUUCCAUGUUCGUGAAAGACGUCUCUUAUGCUCACCAAGGCUGCAUUUAAAAAAAAAAAUACAAAAAUAAAAUUCCCGUAAAAAAUAGUAAUAUACUGAGAUUACAAUUUUCUUUUCUUUUUUUUCUAAUUCCUGUGAUAUUUCAAAGCUGCAUUUUUAAAACCCAUUACUUCAGUCUUCAGUGUGACAUGAUCCUUCAGAAAUCAUUCUAAUGCAGUGAUUUGAUGCCCAAGAAACAUUUCUAUUAUCAUAUUAUCAGAUUUUGAAACAGUUGUGCGUGCUCCUUAAUAUUUUUUGUGGAAAAUAUGAUACUUUUUUCAGGAUUGUUUGAUGAAUAGAGAGUUGAAAAAAAAAAACAACAGCAUUUAUUUGCAGUAGAAAUAGUUUGUAACAUUAUAAAUGUCUGUUCUGUCUGUUAAUCAAUUUAAUGUGUCUUUUCUGAAUAAAAUUAUUAUUUUAAUUAGUAAUAUUAAAAAUAUAUAUAUUUGUAUAUUUUGAGCAGUCAAGUCGUUUUUGGCAAAUAUACUUCUUAUCAAAUAAAAUCAUUUAUAGCACUUUCUUCUUUUACUCAGAGUCAGUAAGCCUUGGUGUAGUUAGUCAAAUUUGCUCUGAUAUGGUAGACACAGGCAAGCAUAGAUACAUACCUCAAACUAUCAUAUUCAUCCAAGCAGAAGGUAAAUGUAAUGUAA